AACGAACGCUGGCGGCAGGCCUAACACAUGCAAGUCGAGCGCUCUAGCAAUAGAGAGCGGCGCACGGGUGAGUAACGCGUAGGAAUCUACCUUGUAGUACGGAACAACAGUUGGAAACGACUGCUAAUACCGUAUACGCCCUUCGGGGGAAAGAAUUUCGCUAUAAGAUGAGCCUGCGUUAGAUUAGCUAGUUGGUGAGGUAAUGGCUCACCAAGGCUCCGAUCUAUAGCUGGUCUGAGAGGAUGAUCAGCCACACUGGGACUGAGACACGGCCCAGACUCCUCCGGGAGGCAGCAGUGGGGAAUAUUGGGCAAUGGGCGCAAGCCUGACCCAGCCAUGCCGCGUGAGUGAUGACGGCCUUAGGGUUGUAAAGCUCUUUUAGUGGUGAGGAUGAUGACGGUAACCACAGAAAAAGCCCCGGCUAACUUCGUGCCAGCAGCCGCCGUAA
rnacentral:rRNA from 1 species